rnacentral:tRNA from 1 species
GGUUGUGGCUCAGUGGUAGAGCACUUGCCUAGCAUGUGUGAGAACGGGGUUCAAUCCUCAGCACCG